UAGAAGAGAUGAAGAGGCCCCUUCAGUCCAAGACGUGACAGUAACAACUGAAUGCAGCUCCCGCAUCGUUGGAUCAGGAGCACAGCACCAAAUUGAUUAUAUAUAAAUAUAUGUUGCGGCAUGGAUGGAUCUUAAUGGUGAGCUCUCGAACCAACGAGUCAGCAGCUGAGUCACAGCCAUCUUCCACUGCCUCGGACUGGACUGAAGUGAGCCCCUUCCAUAGCCC
rnacentral:miRNA from 1 species